GCCUGCUCACUGACUAGGUUGAAGAGCCGCAGUAUAUUGACUGUGCUAAGGUAGCAUAAUCAUUAGUCCUUUAAUUGGGGACUGGUAUGAAUGGCUAAACGAGAAAUUAGCUUUCUUUGUUAUGGUUUGUUGAAUUUAACUUGUAAGUGAAAAGGCUUACAUGAUUCAGAAAGACGAGAAGACCCUAUAGAGUUUUACAAAGGCCUAAAAUACAGCUUAUUAGUUUUUAAGGGUUAUAUUUUGGAAAUUUGUUUGGUUGGGGCGACAUAAAGAUAAAAAAAACUCUUUGUAGUAUAAACUUUGGUGGAAGAAAAGGUUUGAUCCUUUAAAAAGGAUUAUAAGAAAAAAUUACCUUAGGGAUAACAGCGUAAUCUUCUUUUAGAGUUCAAAUCGACAAGAAGGUUUGCGACCUCGAUGUUGGACUAAAAUUUGGGCAAGGUGCAGCAGCUU
rnacentral:rRNA from 1 species